AUACGGAGGAUCCGAGCGUUAUCCGGAUUUAUUGGGUUUAAAGGGUGCGUAGGCGGACGAUUAAGUCAGCUGUGAAAUGCCCGCGCUUAACGCGGGAAGUGCAGUUGAUACUGGUUGUCUGGAGUGCCGUUGCCGUGGGGGGAAUGUGGAGUGUAGCGGUGAAAUGCAUAGAUAUUACACAGAACGCCGAUUGUGAAGACACCUCACGAAGCGGUAACUGACGCUGAGGCACGAAAGCGUGGGGAUCGAACAGGAUUAGAUACCCUGGUAGUCCACGCAGUAAACGAUGAUGACUAACCGUCGGCGACAGACCGCCGGUGGCCAAGCGAAAGCGAUAAGUCAUCCACCUGGGGAGUACGACCGCAAGGUUGAAACUCAAAUGAAUUGGCGGGG
rnacentral:rRNA from 1 species